ACCAAGUAGAGCCGGGAUCCUCUCAAGUGUAAAAAAACUUGAGAAUGUUAAGUUUUACCAUUUCACCAUUAACUUUUGUGUAGAUAAUGAAUGAAAAAUAAGAUAAAAUAAAAUUAAUGGUGAGAUGAUGAAACUUGACACUCUCAAGUUUUUUUACACAUGAGAGGAUCCAAACCAAACUUGGU
rnacentral:pre_miRNA from 1 species